AUUAACUUAUUUUAAGUGAAAUGUGGUGGCUAAGCUUGGUGUGUGUGUGUGUGUGUAGUACAUACAAAAUAAUUAUUUUUACUGUUUAUCUUCUUCUCCUCGUUGCUAAGCAUUAAUGCAAAAGGCACAUGUGUUUCAGCAUGGGGAAAUCUCAACUCCGGGUACCAAAAAGCUAACUCUUGUGCCGCCACUCUGUGUGUCCAUCAGAGUUCAUCUUCUCCAGAAGACAACACAACUGCCAUGUGGCCGAAAGCUGAUAUUCCAAAAUGUUUAUCAGGCACGCUACACCCAGGGUAACUGACCGAGGACAGAUCUGUGGAGCACACAAGGCAGCCGUGAUUGUAAGGCGAAUAGAACUCCAUUUGGAAAGAGUGCAGCAGGCAGACACAGAGAUAGCUAAGGACUCUCUUCCCUGCAUCAUUCCCACGGCUGUUUUAGUUGGUCUGCUCUUCAAUACUUUCACCAGAAAGUGCUUCCCCGAGAGACAGAGUCAAUUGAUGCAACCCCAUGGAAAAGGAGGACGCAGAAGUUCACACAGCUGCAGCAGGUCAGCUGAGUGCAUUCAGGUGCGUCUCAUUAACUGACCCAGCGGUGUAGCCUGAGCAGAUAUUCCCAUUAUCAGCGUCUGGACGAGGACUGGAGACUAGGCCCUGAAUGGGAUCCUGAAUAUGUUUCUAAAAUAGGGAAGGCCUAGGUCAGCUCUGAAGGAUCACAGCUGUCUUCCACCUGUCCCAAAAAUGGUACGGAGCUUUGUGAUUUCUCCCAGCCCUUCUGGGGAGGGAAGAAAUGCUGAUCUAUAUCGUUUGGGUUUCCAGUCGUGGAGCCAAGUGAUCAGUCAUGCUACUAGUUUAAUUGCAAAGAGAUGGCAGAGAGAGACAACCAGGGACCACCUGCUACAUCUGAGGAUCGGAGAGAAUCUCUCUCAUCUGCUUUCAAAUCUCAGUUCCUUUUUCCUCUUCAUUUUGUUUAAGUGGCGAAGGGAUUUGCAUAGAUUCCACACUAGAACACCAGUGCCUGCUAGGCCAUUCUCACUAUUGAUAAUCCUCUGGGUCAGAACAGCCUCCUUUUACACCUUUCUUCUUCCCACUUACGCUUAGUUCUCCUGGUACGUGGGUUACGCUGAAGACAGGAAUUUGGGUUGACAUCUCUACCAUUGGAGAACUUACACCCUUCACUUAGAUUGCCUCUCCAUUGGCCUUUUCUAAAAGUUCCACGGCCCCAUUGGUUGGCACGGACGAGUUUAGUGAAAGCAGGACUGCAAGAUGGGAAAGGGGUAG